rnacentral:rRNA from 1 species
AGCAGCCGCGGUAAUUCCAGCUCCAAUAGCGUAUAUUAAAGUUGUUGCAGUUAAAAAGCUCGUAGUUGAAUUUCGGGAUCAAUAUGUCGGUCGUGCCAUUGGUACGCACUGGCAUUAUUGGUUUCUACCUUCUGAAGAACCUCGAUGUCAUUAAUUUGGUGUCUUGGGGAAUCAGGACUGUUACUUUGAAAAAAUUAGAGUGUUUAAAGCAAGCUCGCGCUUGAAUACAUUAGCAUGGAAUAAUGAAAUAGGACGUUUGAUUCUAUUUUGUUGGUUUCUAGGAUUGACGUAAUGAUUAAUAGGGAUAGUUGGGGGCAUUAGUAUUCAAUUGUCAGAGGUGAAAUUCUUGGAUUUAUUGAAGACUAACUACUGCGAAAGCAUUUGCCAAGGAUGUUUUCAUUAAUCAAGAACGAAAGUUAGGGGAUCGAAGACGAUCAGAUACCGUCGUAGUCUUAACCAUAAACUAUGCCGACUAGGGAUCGGAUGAUGUUAAUUUUUUAAUGACUCAUUCGGCGCCUUACG